rnacentral:rRNA from 1 species
UCUAUACUAUAGAGUUUGAUCAUGGCUCAGAACGAACGCUGGCGGCGUGGAUAAGACAUGCAAGUCGAACGCGAAUUCAUUUGUUAGCAAUAAUAGAUGAGUUUGAGUGGCGAAAGGGUGCGUAACACGUGGGAAUGUGCCGAAAAGUGGGGAAUAGCUCGCCGAAAGGCGAGGUAAUGCCCCAUGUGGAAGAGAUUUUAAAGCUAGGGAUCGCAAGACCUGGCGCUUUUCGAGCAGCCCGCGGCCUAUCAGCUAGUUGGUGAGGUAACGGCUCACCAAGGCUAUGACGGGUAGCUGGUCUGAGAGGACGACCAGCCACACUGGAACUGAGACACGGUCCAGACACCUACGGGUGGCAGCAGUCGAGAAUUUUUCACAAUGGGGGAAACCCUGAUGGAGCGACGCCGCGUGGAGGAUGAAGGUUUUCGGAUUGUAAACUCCUGUCACUGCAGAGCAAAGCUACGGUACUAAAUAUCACCGGAGUCUGAUAGUAUGCAGGGAG